UUGCUGCUUCGUUGUCCUUCACGGACCCUC
rnacentral:sRNA from 1 species